GCUUCAGAGCAAAUGACUAAUGGCCCAGUCUUUAGAGAGUUGCAGAGAGUGAUUGAGUCCUGAAGCCCUUGAGUUUGAAGGGAAAGGUAUCAACGGACACAUAGCCAGAAGUGCUUCAAUGUGAAACAGAGAACCAAGGAAUAAUCAAGCAAAUCAAGAGUGUUUAAUUGUCUUGUGUACGAACAACAGAAGAAUGGAAUUCUUCUUUGCCGCUGCAUUACAGGCCUGUAAAUGCAAUGCACAUUUCUUCCCAAUGGUAGGAGCAAAAUGAGUGGGUGGUGUGGGACUGUGAUGAUAUUGGCUGCCAAGUCACUACUUGUGAUAGGAGUGGUAGCAUCAUCCUUGAUGCUUGAUGCAGGCUUGAUGCAGAUUUAAGUUGAAGAUCUUGCUAAUCGAUACCAAUCGAUAAUACAUCCCAACGGAUUCAGAACCCCAGUGGAAAAAUCAAUAGAAUUAGCAACAAUAGGAUGUUCAAGAAGGAACAGCAGAUGCUGGAAAAUUGAAGGUAGACAAAAGUGCUGGAGAAACUCAGUGGGUGAGGCAGCAUCUAUGGAGCGAAGGAAAUAGGCAAUGUUUCGGGCCGAAACCCUUCUUCAGACCCGAAGGAAAUAGGCAACGUUUCGGGCCGAAACAUUGCCUAUUUCCUUUGCUUCACAGAUGCUGCCGCACCCGCUGAGUUUCUCCAGCAUUUUUGUCUACCUAGCAACAAUAGGAAGCAGGUGAAUAAGCAGUGGAAUAAAUGUUGUUUGUCUACAAUGGAACAAUACAGGAUUCGCAGAGUGAGCAGGCAAAUGCAUGUUCAUUCAAUUUACAAAGACCUGAUAAUGAAGUUGAUUAUUGAAGGCACAACAGCGGGUCAACAGACAGACUAGAACUGAGGCAGCUGUAGAUCAUAUUAACUGGGAACCAUAUUAAGAGUUCAUAACUUUCAUACGAGUGGAAAAUUAUACCGAGAGAAGGGUCUGGACAUGUGUCUGGUUCCCAUAACAUAGUUUCCUGCAAAACGUGAAGCAACUUAGCAACUUAGUGCAGUUCAGUGGAGCAGCAUGUUUAUUCUGACCUCUAUCACAGUAAGAGAUUACUGGAAAGAGAGAAGAACAGGGUUAAAGAUGUGCUCAGCAUCCCAUUGCAGCACAGUGUGCAGUUGGUAGAGCCGCUGUCCCACAGGAUCAGAGACCUGGUUUGAUCCUUGCCUCAAGUGCUGCUGCCUCUGUAGAGUUUGCACAUUCUCGUUGUGACCACCUUGAUUCCCUCCAGAUACUCCAAUUUCCUCCAACAUACCCAAAGAUGUGCGGAUUUGUCGGUUAAUUGGCCUCUAUAAAUGGCCCCUGGUGCGUAGGAAGUGAAUGCAAAAGUGGGAUAACAGAACUAGUGUGAACAGGUGAUCGAUGGUCAGCAUGGACUUGUUGCCCUCCCCGCACACGGGUGGUUGGCAGAGGAGAGGGACGUUGGCCUGCAGACUUCCAGAAUUGGAGGUGCUCCAGAAUUUCCAACAUGUGGAUGGAACUUUGGACUGUUUGUGUUUCUGUUUUUAUUUUGUAAUUUUAAACGUGCCAAAUGUGUGGGUUUUGCAAAAUAAUGUCACUGUGCUGUGCAUGCGUGACACUAAAGAACCACUGGACCAUGUCUGCGCUGACCAUGAAUCCAAUGUAACUAAACCCUUCCUUAAUUCCGUUUCUCUUUCCACAAGAGGCUACCUGACCGGACAAUGUAAUUCCAGCAUUUUCCAAUUUUAUUUAAGAUAUGCUGCUAAACAUGUGGUUUAAGCAGAUUUUAAAAAAUGCAGGGUUGGCCAAUGGGUCUUACACAUGGUAACUUUAAACCUGGCAUUACAUUCACUCACAAUCGUAACAGAUUUCAAAGAUUGAAAGGUCAAGUUGUCAUUAGCCUUAAGUUGUCAUUCUUAAGUCUCUUUACAGAGGAUGUUUGUUCUACAGAGUGUUUCUAGAAAGUUUUGUUUUUAGUUUCAGCUUUCCAAAGUCGACUGUUUAUGUAUUUUGUUCCUGUGACCAAUGACACAGUGAGUUACGCCGGAACAAGAGAAUAUUUGAUUCAUGGAGUUUUACUCCCAGCAACUGUGAACAUUUGCGAGAAAGAGAUAGAAAAUUGGCCAUAAUAUUCCCCUAACAAGAAUGGAAGUGAGUAGUGAUUGGUGACGGAAUGAUUCCACGUGUAGCUAUUGUGACCAACUGAUAGUUUCAUCUUUGGUUUGUUUAAUUGCACCAGUUUUCUUCCACGUCACCUGGUAACAUAACAGGAUAUCAAAUUCCCAGCCAACAUUUCACUCUUGGAUUCAGUAACUCCUCCUACUUAUUUCCCCAGGUGUGUUUUAUCUAUAUUUAUCUAUGUGGUUCUUACGUGGAUGACUUUGAACACACAAAAGAAGGAUUAUCGACAUUUGACAGACAAGCUCAGUUUUGGAUGCCUUAAAUUCACACACAGUUGGGAAGGAUUGCUGCAAGAAAGUUUCAAUGGAGGAUCUAAGAAGCUGGCAGAGAUCGCAUAUGUGUAUUUUGCAAUGUGACCUAGCCCAUGAGAUUUAGUAGCUGCCCGACCCAUUGAGGAUUUCAGAAUGUUAUAACCAGCAUUUAAGAUCAUUGCUUUUCCAUUCUCCAAUGGGCUCAUAGGUGAAGAAACUACAGAAAACUGCCAGCAAAAGAAGACAAAAGUCACCAAGCCCAUGGAGAAAGUAGAGCCAUCUGAUUCCUGUGCACCCUCAGGCAGUUGACCAAGAAAAAGGAUUCCAUUAUCCAUAUUAGCCAUUCGGAAAGUAUUUCUCCAGGGCAGCUGAAGCUAACCCACUUGAAAAAGUGAUGGUGCUUUUGUGCCAAUGUUGUGAAUAAUAGCUGCGUGGAAAAUCAACCGAGCCUUCAAUAGUUAAUAGACACAAAAAUCUGGAGUAACUCAGUGGGACAGGCAGCAUCUCUGGAGAGAAGGGUUGAGAAGGGUUCAACAGCCUGAAGAAGUGUUGAGACCUGAAAUGUCAUCCAUUCCUUCUCUCUAGAAAUGCUGCCUGCUGAGUUACUCCAGCUUUUUUGUGUCCAUCUUCGGUUCAAACCGACAUUUGCACUUCUUUCCUACACAGUUAACGAUGUAUAGGCCUUAUCAAUUUUGAAUUCCUGCACCAAUAUCUUAUAUUUAUAAAAAUAUAGAAGGAAUGGACAGCUUUAUUUAAAAUAGGAAAUAUAACAGAUUCAGAUUGUGCAAAUAAGACUGUACACUUAUUAAAUUAACUUUUCAACGUGAUUGAACCCAUUUAUGUUAAAUCCGUCAUCACCUUUUCCGGUGAACUGUCUGAUCCUUCGGAUAUAAUGCUGAAGUCUUUGAGUCGGAUAUUUCUGCAUACAUCAGAUAACUGAUUAUGGAACCAUCAACGGGUCAUUUUUCUGAAAUGCCAACGACACUAGAUAUCAAUGUAAUCUGACACAGAAAAUGUCCUUGUCUUUGGAUAGAAUUGCACCAGUUGCCCAAAGAUAAUCAGAACAUAAAACUAUCAAGCAUCAAAGAAGAAAACCUGGAAGUAUUUCCUAUUCUCUGGAUUUCUGGAUAUGGUAGGUAGUGUGUAACAUGAUGCCUGUACAUGCAUCCACUGAAGGACAUUGAUAACAGAAAAAGGACUUUUUGGAAAAUGCUGAAGCAGCAAAAUUUGGAUUCGAGUUGUGAAGACUUUGGGUCUAAAGGGAACCUGCAAAAGUCAUCUGAUGCAUUAUUGCACAUCUAUGAUACGAAUUGCACAGGAUAUCAUAUUGAUCAGAGCGAAGAUAUACACAAAUUGCUGGAGUAACUCAGCGGGACAGGCAGCAUCUCCGGAGAGAAGAAAUGGGUGACGUUUCGGGUCGAGACCCUUCUUCAGACAUUGUUCUUCAGAUUUUGAUUCUUCAGAUAUUGAUUAGAGCAAUGGCAAACAUGCAGCCAAUGGACACUGGAAGUCAAAAGACAGAUUUUAAUACCAAUCAGCAAGCAAUAGUGAACUGACAGCAACACCACCAUUUUGGAUCCUGACAUUCCACUUAAUGCCAUCUCUUAAUCAGACAUGGCAGCAUGUCGAACCCGCUCAUUAGUACUAUUGAAAUGAAUCAUGUUUGUCUCUGUUUGAUUGUUUUCUGGCCGCUACUGGGGUUCUACAAAUGUGUUCUGUUUUUAAUUUAUUAAAAAGUAUGGAUUGUA